rnacentral:lncRNA from 1 species
CUUGCGUCCGUUUCCAUGUUGUGGGAGAUUUGUUCUUUCGCUCUUUGUGGUAAAUCUUGCUACUGCUCACUCUUUGAGUCCACACUGCUUUUAUGAGCUGUAACACUCACCGGGAAGGUCUGCAGCUUCAAUCCUGAAGCCAGCGAGGCCACCAGCCCACCGGGAGGAACGAACAACUCCAGACGCACCGCCUUAAGAGCUGUAACACUCACCGCGAAGGUCUGCAGCUUCACUCCUGAGCCAGCGAGACCACGAACCCACCAGAAGAAAGAAACUCCGAACACAUCCGAACACCAGAAGGAACAAACUCCAGACGCGCCAACUGUAACACUCACCGCGAGGAUCCGUGGCUUCAUUCUUGAAGUCAGUGAGACCAAGAACCCACCAAUUCCGGACACACUGUUAUUGUCUUCAGAAGGAGAGUAAAAAGAAUGCUGGGUAGAAGAAAUACCUGAAGAAAUAAUGGCCCAACCUCAAAUUUGGUGAAAGACAUAAACUUACAGAUUCAAGAAACUGAGUGUUCCCCAAACAGAAUAAACUUUAAAGAAUCCACACUCAAACACAUCAUAAUCAAACUUCUGAAAACUAACAACAAAGAAAAACUUAAAAUCAGCAAGAGAGAAACCACACAUUAUCAACUGAUGAAAAGUGACUCAAGUGACAGCAGAUUUAUAAUCAGAAACUUGAAGGACAGAAGGAAGAGGCAAAACAUUUUGAAAGCCCUAAAAGGAAAGAACUGUCAACCCAGAAUUCGACAUCCAGUAAAAAUAUCCGUCAAGAAUGAAUAUGAAGGAAAGCUAAGAAUGAAUAUAUCUUCUAUUUCUUUGCUAAAUUUUUCUACUUUUUCAUUUGAUGUAAGAGUGUUUAUAAGUGCUUAUGGAGCAUUUUUAUGAUAGUUGGUUUACAAUCCUUGUCUGAGAGUAGCUAUGUGAGAUGACGUAUAUAGUAAAUGGUGACUGUAGUAACCAUUUCACUACAUAUAAGUAUGUCAAAACAUGUUGUACACCUUAAAUAUACACAAAAAAUAGCUCUGACACAAAAAAUGCAUAGUUGUUAUUACCAUGUAUAAAUAAAAAUACUUGUAAGUUUAGAAAAUAAAAUCAUUGUCUGAUAAUUAUCUAAAUAAUAAAGUCCAUCUG